rnacentral:ncRNA from 1 species
CGAAUGCAACGCGGGAGCUCGCGCCUUGGCGGGCUGAGAGGGUGACUGGUGUCCAUCUCGCGGACACCCGGCGUCACCGACCGCAUGAACCUGACCGGGUAAUGCCGGCGUAGGGAGUGAACGUCGUUGACGA